rnacentral:tRNA from 4 species
CAAGAAAUAGUUUAAAUAAAAUAUUAAUUUUGGAGAUUAAUGAUGAAGAUAUUACUUCUUUCUUGA